AUUGAACGCUGGCGGCAUGCUUUACACAUGCAAGUCGAACGGCAGCGCGGGCUUCGGCCUGGCGGCGAGUGGCGAACGGGUGAGUAAUGCAUCGGAACGUGCCCAGUAGUGGGGGAUAGCCCGGCGAAAGCCGGAUUAAUACCGCAUACGACCUGAGGGUGAAAGCGGGGGACCGAAAGGCCUCGCGCUAUUGGAGCGGCCGAUGUCGGAUUAGCUAGUUGGUGGGGUAAAGGCUUACCAAGGCGACGAUCCGUAGCUGGUCUGAGAGGCCGACCAGCCACACUGGGACUGAGACACGGCCCAGACUCCUACGGGAGGCAGCAGUGGGGAAUUUUGGACAAUGGGGGCAACCCUGAUCCAGCCAUGCCGCGUGAGGGAAGAAGGCCUUCGGGUUGUAAACCGCUUUUGUUCGGGAAGAAAUCCUCUGGGCUAAUACCCCGGGGGGAUGACGGUACCGGAAGAAUAAGCACCGGCUAACUACGUG
rnacentral:rRNA from 1 species